CCUCAGGUGGGUGGGGUUGGAAGAUGCAAAUGUCCUCUCAGUCUCACCACAGGGCACGGUGUGUGCUUCCUUCCCCAAGCCAUUAGAGAGUGGCCUUCGUUCCUAGGGGACAGUACUUCGAGGGUGCUGGGCCAGAGAGCCAGAAUGAACACCCUGUCCCAGCCAUGAUGGAAGAUCAGAUAGGGUGGCUCCGUUCUUCUGCUUCUUUUUGGAAAGAAGAUCAGCCCUUGUUAAGGAAGUGCCCUUGGGUCGCUGCACAUUGGAGAGGGGAGGGCUUGGUUCUCCUUUGGCCCAGAAUGGUGCUGUUCUCUGAGCAAAAACUCCCACCAUUGUCGCCGAGCUUGUGGAGGCUGUGAUGCUAACUCCAGGAUGGACCCACUGCCCUGGGGUCUUGCUCCCUUUACUUGGAUGUUAUUGUUGUUGAAUCUCUUGGAUUGUUGGAUUGAAAGUCAGAAAACCUGGGUCUUGCCCUUUACAGUCAUGAAGUUUUCACUUGAUCUUGGGUGGGAACCCCAACUCCUUCUCUGUGUGACUUUGGGCAGCACCCCACAAGCCCACUGGGUCUGAGCUUCUUCACCUGAAGAUAACGGUUUCUAUUAGAUGGCUCCUUCUGGCUCCAUAGGUCAGUGAUGGAAAAGGAUUUCAAGCAGCUUCUCUUCAUUCUGUUUUUUGUUUUUCUUCAUGACCUGGAACACACAUAUACCCCAGGUCCUAAAUUCCUGCUCAGAAACUGGGAUAGCAAACUCUUACCUCAGAAGGCUACUGUGGAAUUAAUGAAUUAAUGUAGAAAUUCUUUGAACUCUCCAUCGUGGAAGAAAUCAGUGCUUAUUAUUACUUUCAGAAACAGCCUAAAGGGAGAUCAGGCAGCACUGUCAGCAGAAGGCCUGCAGCAAUCUUAAACCAGAGCUUCCUGCUCUCAGCCACCCUGCCUGUUGAUUUCAAAUCUUGGGAGCACCCAGGGAGGAAUGGUUCUGUGGCUGAGGGUGACAGCAAAAUAGAAAAUGAGUGGCCCUUCCACAAUAUUUAUGGGUUGCUUUAUGUUCCCCACAGUGUGCAGGGGGGCAUGUUGCAAGAAGACAUGUUUAAAUCAAUACUUUGGGUAUUUUUUGCAGGGCUCACAGUGAUUUAGGUUUUUUAAAUAUAUGUAAUGCCAUAUUUCUGGUGCACUGGGAGAGAGAGCAUCCACUUGGUUCUUUUAUGUUAGAAUGGUAAAUCACAGAUCUGUGAUAAAGAUGUGAAACAGGCAUUAAGCAGAAAACAAGUAGCCAGAGAUGAACCCUUGUGAAGUGUCAUCAUCUAUUUCAGUUUUCUAAAUGAAAUUGGGUUUUCCUGUUGAGCCUAAAAUAUUGUUUCCCGUCUCUAGCUGAGAUAAGUUUUUCAUGGUGGGUG
rnacentral:lncRNA from 1 species